GAUAGCAUAUUUGUUGUCGUGGAUAGAUUCUCGAAAAUGGCACACUUUAUACCAUGUCAUAAAAGCGAUGAUGCUGUUAAUGUUGCUGAUUUGUUCUUUCGUGAAAUUAUUCGCUUGCAUGGUGUGCCAAAUACUAUUGUUUCAGAUCGUGAUACUAAAUUUCUUAGCCACUUUUGGAGAUGUUUAUGGGCUAAGUUGGGGACUAAACUGCUUUUUAGUACUACUUGUCACCCCCAAACUGAUGGACAAACUGAAGUAGUCAAUAGAACGUUGUCUACUAUGCUUUGGGCUGUUUUGAAGAAUAAUAAGAAAAUGUGGGAGGAAUGCUUGCCUCAUAUUGAAUUUGCUUAUAAUCGUUCAUUGCAUUCUACUACUAAGAUGUGCCCUUUUGAAGUUGUGUAUGGUUUCCUACCUCGUGCACCUAUUGAUUUGUUGCCUCUUCCAUCUUCGGAGAAGGUUAAUUUUGAUGCUAAACAACGUGCUGAAUUGAUUUUAAAAAUGCAUGAGUUAACUAAGAAAAACAUUGAGCGUAUGAAUGCUAAAUAUAAACUUGCUGGAGAUAAGGGUAGAAAACAUGUUGUGUUUGCACCUGGAGAUCUUGUUUGGUUACAUUUGCGUAAGGAUAGAUUUCCUGAUUUGCGCAAAUCAAAGCUAAUGCCACGUGCUGAUGGUCCCUUUAAGGUGUUAGAGAAAAUAAAUGAUAAUGCAUAUAAACUUGAGCUGCCUGCAGAUUUUGGGGUUAGUCCCACUUUUAACAUUGCAGAUUUG
rnacentral:rRNA from 1 species